GAGGGCUGAAAUCAGUGAUCUUUGAGGUCUCCACACUGUUGUUUUACUCCAGUGGAAGAUUCAACUGAGGAUGGAGAAAAUUCGCACCCCCUAGUCUGGCCUUUUCAUAAUGUUGCUUGGGCUGAUUCAAGCCUGCCUGCUGCUGCCAGCGCCUGUGUGCACCAUCCAGAAGCCUAAAGAUAGGCCUGGCCCAUAUGCUGCUGGCUCUGCUGGCACCUGGACGCAUCUUCUAGAGACCUGGAGAUUCAUCUCUGCCACCUGCCACCACCAGUGCCUGCAUGCACUAUCCAGGAGCCUGAGGACAGGUCUGCCCUGCUCCCAGUGCCUGUGUACAUCUUCCAAGGAGCUGCCAUGCCUGCCAUUGUGGGCACCCAUGCACACUGUCUGGGGCCUGAGGGUGGUCUAUCCCACCUAUUGCCACUGCCCAUGCACACUGUGUAGGGGGCCUUCCAAUUGACCAGCUCUGCCUGCCACUACUGGUACACAUGCAAGCCAUCCAGGGGCCUAAAGAAGGGUCUAACCCAACUGGUCACUCAUCCUUGCACAUACCUCUGAGAGCCCAAAGAGCAGCCUGCUAAGCUUACUGCCAAUACCACUGGUACCCAUUCAUGCAUGCCACCCAGGGACCUGGGGACUGGCUUACCCAGCUGGCUGUUACCACUGCUGGCCCCCAUGUAUGCCACUCGGAACCCAAAGGUUAAUCUUCCUUCACUAUUGCCACUCCAAUGUCAUGCACACCACCUAACGGUCUGAGGACCUACCCACCUGACCCACUGCUGCCACUGCUGGCACCUGAGCAUGCUUCCUGGAGGCUUGAGGACCAACUCACCUGAAUUCUCCACUGCUGCUACUUACAUAUGUCACCUAGUGGCCCAAAUUCUCAAUUCUUGCAAGAGACAUAGACAGUCUGAGACAGGAAGCUCAAAAUUCCCAAAUAGAUUCAAUUCAAAAAGGUCUUCUCCAAAGCACAUUAUAGGCAAACUGUCAAAAUUCAAAGACAGAGACAAUUCUAAAAACAACAAGAGAAAAGAGUCCAGUCAUAUAUAUGGAGAUUCCCAUCAGACUAACAGCUGGUUUCUCAAUGGAAAACUUACAGGUCAGGAGAGAAUAGGAUGAUAUAUUCAAAUUGCUGAGAAAAAAAUGCUGCCAACCAAGAAUACUUUUACCCAGGAAAGCCAUCCUUAAAAAAUGCAAUGAAAUAUUUUCCAUAUAAACAAAGACUGAGAGAAUUCAUCAUCACUAGAUUGGCCCUGCAUGAAAUGCUUACAGAGGUACUAUAUUUGGAAGUGAAAGGAUGAUAUUUGCCGUAAUGAAAACACACAAAGAUGAAACUCGCUGAUAUAGGAGUCAAACAUUAUCAAGUGGGGUUUAUCCCAGGGAUGCCAGAAUGGUUCAAAACACACAAACUAAUAAAGGUAAUAUAUCACAUCAACAAAAUGAAGGACAAAAAAUAUGAUUAUUUUAACAGAUACAGAAAAAGCAUUUGAUAAAAUUCAACAUCCUUUCAUGAUAAAAAUUCUCAACAAAUUAUGCCUAGAAGGAACACAUUUCAAUAUAAUAAAGUCCAUUUUUGAUAAACCCACACCUAACAUCAUACUGAAUGGGGAAAAGAUGAAAGCCUUUCAUCUAAAAAUUGGAACAAGACAAAGAUCCCCACUUUCAUCACUCUAAAACUUAAUACUGG
ensembl:lncRNA